rnacentral:lncRNA from 1 species
ACAUCUCCAUAUUCCAAUCACACCUUGAGACAUCGAUCUUCACAAGUCACCAUCACAGCCCUUGUAGUUGAUGUCAAUGGAGCCUCAUGUUGCUGUCGUGUUGGUGAUUUACAAUGGAACUUAGAGGAUUAGAUAUGGAGAAGAGACGCAAGUAAUGGAGCCACCGCGUCAUGACACUUCCGGUGCCGAUCUACAUUUUAACCAACCGUUAGCC